rnacentral:rRNA from 1 species
GUCCACCCCGUAAACGUUGGGAACUAGUUGUGGGGACCAUUCCACGGUCUCCGUGACGCAGCUAACGCAUUAAGUUCCCCGCCUGGGGAGUACGGCCGCAAGGGCUAAAACUCAAAGGAAUUGACGGGGACCCGCACAAGCGGCGGAGCAUGCGGAUUAAUUCGAUGCAACGCGAAGAACCUUACCAAGGCUUGACAUAUACGAGAACGGGCUAGAAAUAGUCAACUCUUUGGACACUCGUAAAACAGGUGGUGCAUGGUUGUCGU